rnacentral:rRNA from 1 species
GACGAACGCUGGCGGCGUGCUUAACACAUGCAAGUCGAACGGAAAGUCCCUGCUUGCAGGGUACUCGAGUGGCGAACGGGUGAGUAACACGUGGGUGAUCUGCCCUGCACUUCGGGAUAAGCCUGGGAAACUGGGUCUAAUACCGGGUGGGAGCCUUUUUUCGUUUGAUGGUUGGAAAGUUUUUUCGGUGUAGUAUGAGCGUUCGGCCUAUCCGCUUGUUGGUGGGGUAAUGGCCUACCAAGGCGGCGGCGGGUAGCCGGCCUGGGAGGGUGGACGGGCACAUUGGGACUGAGACACGGCCCCGACUCAUACGGGAGGGAGAAGUGGGGGAUGUUGCACAAUCGGAGUGAGCGUGAUGCAGCGACGCCGCGUGGGGGAUGACGGCCUUCGGGUUGUGAACUUCUUUCGCUAGGGACGAAGCUUUUUGUGACGGUACCUAGAGAAGAAGCCCCGGCUAACUACGUG